GAGCCAGGACGGGAGUGAGCACAGCAGGGAUUAGCGGGGAGACUGGGGAAGGUGGAGGAGAGCCUGGGAGGAGAGGAGCUGGGCAUCCCGGAGGGGUGGAGCAGACACACCAAGGGGCCUCUGGGGGCAAGUGGAACUCUGAGGCCACUCAGGUAAACAAAGAAGAGAGUUUCCACUGGGCAAGAACCUUAAGGAGGGAGCCUGGCAAAGGAGCAAACAAAUUGGAUGAGCAGGAGCGAGGAUGACGGAUGGGCCUGAGCUCUGAGAGAGCAGAAGAGCGGCUUUGCAAGGAAGAGGGAGUAGAGGCAAGAAGCUGAGGGGAGGCCUGUGGCCUCGAGCAUGUGACAGGCUUAAGUAAGGAGGCGGUAGAGUUCUCGUCCAGUGCUGGGGGUGCAGGCUGCAACAGCCACCCACGUCAGUGGGGAGAGUCCCUACGGGGCCGCCCCGUGUCCUCUGGAAAUGGCACAUUCUUGGGCAGGGAAGGACCAUGAGAAGGUCAACUGGUGCUGCAAUCCUGUGGUCCGGCAGCUGGGCUGCGGAAGAGAAAGUUUAGACUCCCUUGAAGGUGUGUGGGGUCUUACUGACACGGCCUCUCGCCCCACGGGGGCCCCCAGAGGUGGCCGGGCCCGGUGCUCACCCCUCUUUACCCCCUCCCCAGGGUGCUGGGGGGAGCGGAGCACAUGAUGACCUGAGAUACACAGGAGACGGCUCAGAGCCAAGGUUCUUAGGGAAGCGUCUGAGAGGACAGAAGACGGAAGCCGUGAGGAAAAUCAGUCACACCCCCAGAUGAGCGCAACAUGACAGCCAACUGGGGAGGGAGGCUCAGAAAGCCGAACAGGAAACCUGCUACCUUAUUCAGACCAGCUGGGAGAGCAGAACUAGACAAAGCCAAGGGACAGAAUAAAGAACAACUCAGCCUAGAGAGAAACGCCCUGGAAGAGCAGGGACGCUGCUUGCCCUGCUUGCCCCGCACACGUGCAAUCGCGGCCCCGGAGGCAGGUCUGAGCCUCGCUUCCACGCGACCGCCCGCCACGCAACGGCGGGUCCCCGAAGAGCCAAUUCUUAGGCUCUAAGGUCUUUUUUGCCUCAGGUUAUUUAAAUGGCUUCAGACCAAACAGUCAUUUAAUUCCUAACGGACAGAUGGUAUGAAGAUAAAAUUAUUGAACCCAGAGCAGUCUCAUGGCCAGAUUCUACAUGGAUGGAUGUGGCUGCUGACGACGAAGGGAUUUGUAGGCCGUUUUGAGGACAGAUGAAUAGAUUUAAAUAUUAAGAGAAGCAGGCUAAGUAAGUUCAUCCAUUCAUCUACUCAUUCAACAAAUAUUUAUUUACUAGGUACUCUGAGCAUGGCACCGUGUUAGGUACAUGGCAGUAACCAGGACAGUCCGGUGCUGACCCUUGAGGAACUAAGAGACUCACACAAUAUUGACAAUUCAGUGGAACUUUAAGUAUCUUGACACCAUGGACCAAUAUAUUCAGGAUCCAAGGAUUAAAGGAGGCUCUUAAUUUGGGGCUGAAACAAAACCAAAAUACCCUAGUGUUUCUUUAUAAACACAUGGUGUAUAGUUUUCCUUACAGGAUUUUCUUUUUGCUUAAGUUCAUAAAUCCGUAUAAACUGAUUCAGAAGAUAUGUGAUAAAAUAGGAGAGGAUAAAUUUUAGGGCCUUCCCCAUUCAGCCAUAAGCACAAUUUAGGAAAAGGUCUGCAAAACCCUAGUGCUAGAGUGCAGUCUUGCGGUCAUUUGGUGCUGGGACCCAACUGUUCAGAGAUGAGGAAACCAACAUUUAUAAAAGGCUCAGAAUCUGUUUCUAAUUGUGGAUUGGUAAAAGCUUCUUGGUUUCCCAAGGAACAUAUGGUAGAGAUUGAUAGUUAAAAAUGUAACAGAGGGACUAAAAUAUUAAUGUAGGAGUAUUCACAGACUCCUUCUUUAUAAUCCCCUGCUAAGAAUAAUUCCCGCAAUGCCACCUCGGCAUCUCCUCAUACUGGGUAGCUGAGAUGGAUGGAGGGUGACAUAAUUUCAUGCACCAUGGAGGACUGGGGGAGGGAUUCCAUUGAGGACAAGCACCCCCCUCAUGCAUGUUUGGGGGUGCCCAAACUGCCCGCUUCAUAGUUGAGCACUACUGAGAUGAGGAGAUGAUGACCCUUCAGGGUCCUGAUUUACCUGUAGGUCCACAAGUGGGGGUUAUGGAGAGACACUGCGAUAUUGACAGCUGGGGUCACUCAAAUGUGGAUCCAGGGGGCCACCAGCAGGCCACUGGUGCCUAGGGACAAAUCCCUGUGUGUGGGGACUACUGGAGGCACCAUUCACCCAUCCACCCGGAAGGAAGCUCACAGCACAUAUGAAUGAGGGAGGAGGUGCCUGGUCCCCUGGAUAAUCCCUGAUCAUCUGUGUCACACACUCCUUGCCAGAAAAAGGAGAUAGUUACUCUCAAUGCCACAGAGACUAAGAGUAAGGGCUAUUGUUUGGAAUUGUCUGAAGGCAGAAGUCAGGGGGAGACUAACCUGAGAGCUGGAAAAAUGGUCAGGGGUGCCAAAUGCUUAGAGGAAGAAAUUUCCAAACUGGAUUAUGGAUAUAAAGACAAGAUGCCAACAAGAACUCAGACUCUGAUACCUAGUGGGUAUCAGUAACUAGAAAUUAACCUAAAUCUUGUUAAAUUGUUAAGGAGUUUAUUCACAAUCAACAAUCAUUUACCGAGUCCUGGCACUGUUAGCGAAUUUGGAGAAGAGGCACUGUAUCAGAAAUUUUGCUUUCACAGAGUUGACAUCCUAGCUGCGGGAGAGGCACUUCAUGAAAAUCUCUAAACCUAGCAAACAGCAGAGGCCUGUGAUUGCUCAAUUCUUAAGGCCUCCCACCAACAGGAGUAGAAUAAUAGAGCAAAGCCCAAAAAGGUCAUCCUCCACAAAGCCAAUCUCAGACUUGGCCACAAAGAACAAGAACAAACAAGGAAGAUCUUGGCAGGCACAACAGGUAAGCAGAAGGAUGACCAAGGACCCUAUCCCACUGUGCUGGAGAUAACCUCACACAACCUGAAACCAGGGCAUGCUGAGGCAAGACUGGCAAAGCUGAAGUCAGUUCCCCUGAUCUCAUGCAAACAUGGUGCAGUGUGUGAGAAUUGUUUUAAAGUGGUUAUGCCUCUUGAGCUUGCAGGCAUGUAGUCAGACUAUCCUGAACACUCAGGUAUGUGUUUGGGGAGGAGAUGGAAUAUUAAAACAUAUGAAAUAAAACCCUGAAGAGAACAGUAAGGGGAGCCUCUUUUACUUGGAAAAAGUUCUCAUAAGUAUGCUGUUUCAUUGGGGUCCUCUGGGGACUUGUGAAGCCUUGAUAUAACACUGGCGAGGGAGAUGCUGUUAGUUCCUGCCUUAUGUAACCAUUUCUAUGGUUUUCCAAUGCUCCAAAAUUAAAGAAACUUUAC